AACGAACGCUGGCGGCGUGCUUAACACAUGCAAGUCGAACGGAAAGGCCCUGCUUGCAGGGUCCUCGAGUGGCGACCGGGGGGGUCACACGUGUGGGAUCUGCCCUGCUCUCCGGAAUAAGCGUGGAUAACUGAGUCUAUUACCGGACAGGAGCCAUUUUGACUGUGGUGGGUGGCACGUUUAUUCGGUGUAGGAUGAGCUCGCGGCCCAUCCGCUUGUUGGUGGGGUAAUGGCCUACCAAGGCGGCGACGGGUAGCCGGCCUGAGAGGGUGGACGGCCACAUUGGGACUGAGAUACGGCCCAGACCCCUACGGGAGGCAGCAGUGGGGAAUGUUGCACAAUGGGCGCAAGCCUGAUGCAGCGACGCCGCGUGGGGAUGACGGCCUUCGGGUUGGAAACUCCUUUCGCUAUGGACGAAGCUUUUUGUGACGGUACCUAGAGAAGAAGCACCGGCUAACUACGUG
rnacentral:rRNA from 1 species